AACACUUCUCGGCCUUUUGGCUAAGAUCAAGUGUUGUAUCUGUUCUUAUCAAAGCGGAGAGCCGCUUGGUCUGCUAUUUGGAUCGUUGCAUGCGAUAUUGAUCCUUU
rnacentral:snRNA from 1 species